AUGCCGACCUCCUCGCACGACGGCGGCGACGGCCUCCCCUGCGUAUCCGCUUCCUCCAUCGUUGCUAGCGCCGUGUGCGGCUACCACUUGCUCAAGAUCUCCGGCUACUCACGCACCCAGGAGGUUCCCAACGGCGAUUGGAUCGACUGUUGCCCGUUCCAGGUGGGAGGCCGCAAAUGGCAUGUGCGUUACUAUCCCAACGGGGAGACCUCCAAGGACGUCGACUAUAUCCCUCUUUCUCCUCUUCGAUGA
rnacentral:rRNA from 1 species